rnacentral:rRNA from 1 species
UGAGGAAUAUUGGUCAAUGGGCGCAAGCCUGAACCAGCCAUCCCGCGUGAAGGAAGAAGGCCCUACGGGUUGUAAACUUCUUUUCUGUUUGAAGAAUAAGCUCGUCGAGACGAGUGAUGCCGGUAGGACAGGAAUAAGCAUCGGCUAACUCCGUGCCAGCAGCCGCGGUAAUACGGAGGAUGCAAGCGUUAUCCGGACUUAUUGGGUUUAAAGGGUGCGCAGGUGGUUUAAUAAGUCAGUGGUGAAAGUCUGGCGCUUAACGUUAGGAUUGCCAUUGAUACUGUUAAACUUGAAUAUGGAUGAGGUAGGCGGAAUGUGUAGUGUAGCGGUGAAAUGCUUAGAUAUUACACAGAACACCGAUUGCGAAGGCAGCUUACUAAUCCAUCAUUGACGCUGAGGCACGAAAGCGUGGGGAUCAAACAG